CCUACGGGAGGCAGCAGUGAGGAAUAUUGGUCAAUGGGCGCGAGCCUGAACCAGCCAAGUCGCGUGAAGGAUGACGGCCCUAUGGUUUGUAAACUUCUUUUAUCUGGGAAUAAAAUGCGCCACGUGUGCCGUUUUGUAUGUACCACAUGAAUAAGCAUCGGCUAACUCCGUGCCAGCAGCCGCGGUAAUACGGAGGAUGCGAGCGUUAUCCGGAUUUAUUGGGUUUAAAGGGUGCGUAGGCGGUAAGUUAAGUCAGCGGUGAAAGUUAGUGGCUCAACCAUGGAAGUGCCGUUGAAACUGGUUGGCUUGAGUGUGUGUGAGGUAGGCGGAAUGCGUGGUGUAGCGGUGAAAUGCAUAGAUAUCACGCAGAACUCCGAUUGCGAAGGCAGCAUAC
rnacentral:rRNA from 1 species